rnacentral:rRNA from 1 species
CAAGACCUCGAGUCGGCGAUGGUUCAUUCAAAUUUCUGCCCUAUCAACUUUCGAUGGUUGUUUAUUGGACAACCAUGGUCUUGACGGGUAACGGGAAAUAAGGGUUUGAUUCCGGAGAGGGAGCCUGAGAAACGGCUACCACAUCUAAGGAAGGCAGCAGGCGCGCAAAUUACCCAAUAGCAACACGCUGAGGUAGUGAACAAAAAUACUGAUCGAGGGCUCAUUUGGGCCUUCGAAUCGGAAUGAGUACAAUCUAAAUCCCUUAACGAGGAACAAUUAGAGGGCAAGUCUGGUGAAGCUUCCAGUUCUGUUGCUGGCGCCAGACAUAGCCGGGGGGGCGGUCUUCUCGUUGCCCCGACUAGUCGAACGUCCGACCAUGGCAGGUGGACGUCGGCGAGACAACCUGGAUCGGGGAAGGCUAAGGCACUUCGGAUUGCCACGCUGAUCCCGAGCGGAGCUUGUGCAGAACUCAUCUGCCAUGGCCCGCGUAGAGCACGGUAAGGUGUCGGCCUGCCCCGGCAGGUUUGAGGGACGUGCCAACCCCACUCGAAAGAGUGGCUCGUGAUGGUAGCGCCUGUCCGCGAACAUUACGAUGUGUCCUGCUGAUGCCCGAGGCGGGCCCGCAAGUUUUGCGAAGUCGUUAACACGAACGUAUCCCGGGGAGGAUUCCAUUUCACAUCUCCGGGUGCAGUAUCGGUGGGGGCGACGUUCACAAACGCUUUACGGGGACCGAGGGCGCGGGGCGAACGACCGUCAACGGUCGAACAUGUGGCCAGCAGCCGCGGUAAUUCCAGCUCUAAUAGCGUAUAUUAAAGUUGUUGCAGUUAAAAAGCUCGUAGUUGAACCUUGGGCCUGGCUGUCCGGUCCGCCUCACCGCGUGCACUGGUGCGGCCGGGCCUUUCCUUCUGGGGAACCGCAUGCCSUUCGCUGGGCGUGCCGGGGAACCAGGACUUUUACU